rnacentral:tRNA from 1 species
GCAGUCGUGGCCAAGUGGUUAAGGCAAUGGACUAGAAAUCCAUUAGGGUGUCCCCGCACAGGUUCGAAUUCUGUCAAGUGCG